UUUUUUUUUUGUUUUUUAUAUAUAAGUAACUUUUGUAAUACUGGUAAAAACAUUGACAUUUACGGGAUAUAUUUAUUUCUACAAACACCUUGGUCUUGUUUUCAUGUCGUAACCUUGCAGGGUUGUGGGCCGGUUUGUGUAUCCUUAGAGUGAGUGAGUCGUUGGACGUUGUGGCACUGUGUGUUAUGUCCUAUCUAAUUUUGGUGUUGCAGUGCCAGAGAGUGGCCUGUGAAGGUGUAGGCUAAGUGUUUGCUAGGUCGGUUGCUUUGCCCCGCAAGAUUGUCAGGUCUGGAGGCCAGGUUCAGGUGUGGUCAAGGUAGAUGGUUGUACCAUUUGUUCAUAGGUAGUCUAAGGAAUAUACAAUUCAGGAUUACAAAUUGAUCCAGCACGCAGAACUGUGUCACACCUAGGACUCGGGGUAAUGUAUAACUGAACCUUAGAAUGGCCAGACUUAACAUAUCCAAGAAUAGUCAAUAUACUUGCCGAGGUCAGGAACACAGACUCAGACACAAUGAUGAGGGAAAGCAAAAAGUCAAGGAUACCAGUAUUCAGGGAAGUCAAAACGAAGCCAAAGUCAAAUACCAGAAAAUCAAGAUCCUGAACACACUCUCGGAUUACCAUCAGGGCAAUGAGUAAAAGGAGAAUUGGGUUUAAAUACCCCUCCUGUGGAUCUGAUUGGCCCUGACCGUCCUUUGACCCCAAAAGCAAUUACCAGGUUUCCAUGUGCAUGAUUGCUGCUCAGCACAAACCCUCCUGUGGAUCUGAUUGGCCAUGACCGGCCUUUGACCCCAAAAGCAAUUACCAGGUUUCCAUGUGCAUGAUUGCUGCUUGGCACAACUUUUCCUGUCAGGACGGUAAAUGCCAUUAACCACAUUAUGUGUGGAUGAAUACAUAGGUGGUGUUGGGUAGGUGUCUUCUUCGAGUUGAGGGGGGGGUGUGUGUGUGGUUAGCUCUGUGAGGGUUUAUUGCUUGUAUUGUGUGUGUCAUGGGUGGGUUGUUUAGUUAGUAGUUCGAACAGGAGAGGAAGGGUAAGGGGGGUGAGGUGGACAGGAGGAAGGUCCAGGCAUGUGGGGUGCGUGCGUGGUGGCAUGGGUAGGUGGGUUCUCAGUCUCCGUCCCGUCUCACCUUCCCCAGGGCAGGUCUAGCAUUCUAAUUUGUUGGGGUUGUGUUUUCAUUGGGUGGUGAGGAUGCCGGUACGGAGUUGGUGGUUUUGCUGCGGUUCGUUGGUUCAAGUGUUGCGUAGUCAGUGGUUUCAUUGCUGGAUACAUCUGGGACGUGCGUCCCCCCCAGGCCACUCCAUUUGUUCUGAGCCUCUUGUGUUAGUAUCUGAGGAUAGCCACUAGAGCCAGAGGAACCAUGCAUCGUGGUAGUUCCAUGAGUGCCCUGCCGCAGACAGGAUUAGCUCUUCUAUACGUCUUAUGUCUACCACCCUGUUCAUCCAUUCACUUAGUGUCGGGGCUGUUUUUUGUUUCCAGUGUCCUGGAAUAAGGCUGCGAGCCAUGUUCAGUAGGUGCAGUAUAGCUGUUUUGUUGAGUCUGCACGUUGGUAGUGUGUUUAGUUGAAGUAGGUAUGUUUCUGGUGUGAGUUGAAUGUUUAUGUCAGUUAUGGAUGUUAGGACCUUAUGUAUUGCUUCCCAGAAAGGCUUGAUGAGUGAGCAUGUCCACCAUAUAUGGUAGAGUGAGCCUAGUUCUUUUCCGCACCUCCAGCAUUCCGGGGCGCAGUUGGUCUUCAAAGCGGUUGGGUUUUACAGCGUCAUGUACCAGUGUGGGACCAUUUUGUAUCCCAUUUCAUGGAAUUUGGUGCAUAUAGAGGUUUUGUGUAGUAGUGUGAACACCGUGGUCCAUUGGGCUUUUGAGAGUGGGUGUCCUAGGUCCUUCUCCCAGUAUUUAGUGAAGUAGGGGGGGGGGGGUCGUUUCAGGGCUUGGGGUGUUCAGUAAGCUGUAUAGCAGCAAGACGCGUGCGGUGGUGAAGAGGGGUCUGGCGCAUAUGUUCUCAAAAGUGGUGAGUGCUUUCGAGGCUGAAUCCAGGAUGGGAAUGCUCCUCAGGAAGCUUGUCAGUUGGUGGUGUCUUAGGCGGAGAGACAGGUUGUGUGAGACCACUUUCAUCAGAGGAGUGAUCCUGCCUUGGUUAUAUAUGUCUUUCAGUCUGCACGGGUGUGGGAGUCCCAGGGCUGCAGUGUACUGGGCGGAUGUUGCUGGGCUGAAUUGUAAAUUGUGCAAAAUGGGGCACAGUGGUGUCAGUGUUGGAGCUAUGUCUUUAUGUGUUGAUAAGCUCCUCCAGACUACCAUAGUCAUGUGUAAGGUUGGGUGUUUGUUCGGUAGUUUCUCGGCCAUGUCUUUCAGCAGCCAUGGGAGCAGUGGUAAUGGUGUCUGUGGGAAGCUUGCCUCUAUCAAGAUCCAGGUUUCAUCCUUCGGUGUGUGCGUCCAUUCUAUUAUUUUUCUGAGGCGUACGGCUUGUCGCUAUUUGGUUAGGUCUGAGAGUCCCAGUCCCCCAUGUUCCUUGGGCUUUAUAAGGGUUGCGUAGUUUAGUCUCGCCUGUCGGCGGUGCCAGAUUUAUUAUGUGAACGUUGUGCGUAUCUGUGAGAGGAAUGUUUUAGGUAUGUGGAUCGGUAGUGUUUGCAGGAGGUACACGAGACUCGGGAGCACGUAAUUCUUAAGUACGCAUAUUCUUCCGAGCCACGUUAUGUGGGGUAGCGUCCAUGAUCUUAGGUCUUUUUGAAUUGUGUCAAAGAGGGGGUGGGGGAGUUGAUGCGGUAGGUGUCUGACAGUUCCGCUGAGAGCCAGAAUCCUAAAUAUUUGAUUGCCUUCUCGCACCAUUGGAAGGGUAGCUCGGCUUUCAGUGAGGUUUCCAGCGAUCGGGGGCACCCCACAUUGAGGAUUUCAGAUUUUGAGAAAUUGAUUUAAAGGUUGGACAGUAGUCUGUUUGUGUCGAAUUGAUGUAUAAGCUCUUUUAGAGAUGGUUCUGGAUUUGUGAUAGUGAACAGGUCAUCCGCAUAUGUAGAGAUUUUGCUCUCACCCCAUUUUCCAUUUAUCCUUUCUAUUCGAGGUUGUGCUCGUAUGGCGUUAAUGAACGGCUCCAGGCUGAUCACAAAAAGACAUUAUGUUACAGCCUUAUGUAAAAUUGUCCCGAUCCUAUCUUAAGGAUACUAUGGACCUACUUAAUAAAUUAGAAUCAAUAGAGUGGGAGGAUGAUUAUGUACUCAUAACUUGUGACGUACAAUCUCUAUACACUAUAAUUGAACAUACAAGGGGUUGUAAAGCUGUAAAAACUAUUCUAGAGAGACAAAAAAA